rnacentral:piRNA from 1 species
UUCUCAAAGACAUGCAGGGUUAUUAGCACA